UUCUACUGCCAUGCCACCCUGAACGCGCCUGAUCUCGUCUGAUCUCGGAAGUUAAGCAGGGUCAGUCCUGGUUAGUACUUGAAGGGGAGAAUAUCAACAGGAAAGAAA
rnacentral:rRNA from 1 species